GUUUAGCCCCGAUUGUAGCGGCAUCCUUUUUUACUGUCAGUUCGAGUGAAUUUGUGAAGUAUGAACAAAUUUGUAUCGAGAACAGAGGUAAAAAAGAUAUAGCGGAAAGCGGGAAAUAGC
rnacentral:sRNA from 1 species